rnacentral:rRNA from 1 species
GGGCUCACACAAGCGGUGGAGGAUGUGGCUUAAUUCGAGGCUACGCGAAGAACCUUAUCCUAGAUUUGACAUGCUUGAGAAUUCCUUCGAAAGAAGGAAGUGCCCCUCGGGGAGCUUUUGCACAGGUGCUGCAUGGCUGUCGUCAGCUCGUGUCGUGAGAUGUCGGGUUAAGUCCCUUAACGAGCGAAACCCUUAUCUCUAGUUGCCAGCGGGUAAUGCCGGGGACUCUAGAGAGACUGCCGGUGUCAAACCGGAGGAAGGUGGGGAUGACGUCAAGUCCUCAUGGCCUUUAUGUCUAGGGCUGCACACGUCCUACAAUGGUACGGACAAACGGACGCGAAACCGCGAGGUGGAGCAAAUCCUAAAAACCGUGCCUCAGUUCGGAUAGGAGUCUGCAACUCGACUCCUUGAAGUUGGAGUCGCUAGUAA